GCUCAGAUGGUGUAGUGGUAGUAUCUUCUAGUUCAAUGGUCUGACCUAAUGUAUCUUUGAUGAAGCCGCGCCGGUUCGAAUCCGCUUCUGGGCG